rnacentral:lncRNA from 1 species
GGGCAGCCUGGGGGCCCGGGUCCGGGAGGCUGUCCCGGGGACUGCGCCCCGCCCACAGGCGACAGCCAGAUCGCGCUGCCGGCCCCUCGAACGCUGGGUUCCCUGGCCACAGCGCGUCUUGUUUAUUGCUUUUGCGGACUGGUUAAAUGCAAAAGCUCAAGGUUUUCUUUCUUUUUUCCGUAAUUAUAAAAGUAGGACAUGCUCUUUUAAAGGGUGGAAAAUUACGAAGAAAAAAGUAAUCACCCAAAGCCCCACCCUCUAGACUCAACCUCUGUUAACGUUGAUGCAUUUCCUUCCUGUCUCCCCCCACAACCCCCUUUCUUUGCAGCAGAUCUUCAGGUUUUUAACGUCAUUUAGUCAUGUUAUAUCAUUUUGUAGCCUACCUUUUUCACUUAUAUUGUGGCAGAAACUUUUUUGUGCUUUUUUCAAACAUUGCUUUAAAGAUCAUAAAGAUCUACUCCUUUAGUAGAGGUAUCAUCAAGUACUUAAACACUAUUUCCGUUUAUGAGCAUCUAAGAUGUUCUCAGUUUUUACUAGUGUAUGAGGUAGACCAUCCCUUCACCCUUACUUACAUUUGCCAGGGUUUGAUGGUUGGUGGAGCAUACAAGCCCAAACUAAAAAUUUGAUCAAAUAUAUGUCAAAUUGUGAGCAAAACUUGAAAGCUUCUGCUCUUUUCUAUAUUGCUAAUGAUAGAGAACCUGGGCAGAAGCUGAUUAUUUGCAGGAUGAGCUUUUGUGCCUGUGAAGGAAGGCCCUGACCUGAAUGGGACGUGGAGAGUUUUGCAGUGGAGAUGGAGGCUGGUGGCAGAAGGCAGAAUGAGAAAGAGGGGCCAAAGAAAAGAAAGUCAGCUGGCGCCUAAAGGAAAAACUCCCCAUGAAGAUAAAUGGCUGAUGAUUUUUGGAACACUGAUGUUGAACAUGCUAAUUCUGUUAGUCCAAGCUCCAGUCUCCUUGUUUCUUUUACUAAAAAACUAGAGAAGUACAGGAGAAAGAACUGGGCCUAAAUGAAGAGAGAGUCACACUAUUUAGUGCAUUUUCUGCCUUCUAAUCUGUCCCCCUUCUCUAAAGUCCUUUUCCCACUUCAUGAAAGGGUAAUAUAAGGUUUCCGUAAGAUUCUAGAUAUCCAGGAUAAGCAGAGGACAUGAACCAUCCAGAUCUUCUCCCUCUCUCUUUUUUAAGAUGGGGUCUUGCUCUGUCACCCAGGCUGGAAUGCAGUGGCGAUCUGGGCUCACUGUAGCCUUGACCUCCUAUGCUCAAGAAAUCCUCCCGCCUCAGCCCCCAAGUACCUUGGACUACAGGCACACACCACCACGCCCGGCUAAUUUUUUUAUGCUUCUUGUAGAGAUGGGGUUUCACCAUGUUGCCCAGGCUGGUCUUGAACUCCUGCUGACCCCAGGCAAGCUGCCCGCCUCAACCUCCAAAAGUGCCGGGAUUACAGGCAUGAGCCACCAUGCUGGGCCCAUCUAGAACUUCUCUGUGAGGUCUGGCAUGAGCCUACUUCUAUUUAUCCCCUGCAAAUCACUUUAACUGAAAGCUGUUCACUUCUAAAAUGAGGUUACAGGAAAAAAAAAGUAAGUAUGUUUUGGUAACUGAACGUGAUGGUGGGAGAAAGGCUGGUGGUUUGAGAAUAAACUCAGCCUCCCAGGGCCUUUUGCCUAGAAGGUCUUACACACUCUUGCAUUGGUUAGCCUGGUUAGUAAAGGGCAUGCAACUCUACUGCUUCUAAGAACACUGUAGGUCCUUCCUGUGCUCAGAGUUGUGUGACGAUCUGUAACUCAAGGGAGAAGCUGGAACAGCCAGCUUUUGACAUCUCCCUUGUUGCUUGGUCUGGAGCAACUUUCCCUUUAUGAGAAAAAGUGUGACACAAACUCUGUCUCCAACCAAGCCAGUUUUCUCCAUGCUGAGUAUCUGUAAGAAAAGCCAGAUUGAUCAAGAGGCAUUCUCUGCUUGGUUUAAAUUCGCAUGACAAAGUAGGCAAUUUUGUGUAAUUGGCACGUGCUUUGCAAAGUAGCCGUCCAUUCUUGAGCCACCUGAGAACUGGCAGUGAAGCAGUGAUUUAACUUCAAAAGGGUGAGAAUGGCUGUGGUGGCUUUCUUUUCCCUCUUAAGGCGGAAGAGGUUCCUGUCUCCCUGUCUCCUUCCCAGAACAGCUCCCUCUACUGACGGUAUGGCUGUCAUCCUCCCUCUAACCCACUUCCUCACCUCUGUGGUCUCCACCUAGAAUGCAGGUGACUGUGUCUCCAUAGGGUGAGAUUUGCUCAAAGAGUAGAGAAAACCCGGCAUCCUGAAAGCAACACUCCAGACCUGGCUGCCAGCCACAAACCCACUAGCUCCUAGAUCUCCAAAUCUACUCCUUUGUUUAGUACCCAAGGAUUCUCACUGUUUCCAUUACUGGAGGAAGGUUCCCUUCUAGCCAUCCAGUUCACAUAGGAUUGGGAAGAAGCUAGCUCCAUUCUCAUCAUAACCGGUGAGAUCAGUUCCUCCAGGCUUGGGCUCCCAGCAUCCCUUCUCCAAGUCACAACAUUCUCUAGACACUUGCUGACCCUGCUAUGUUCUGCCUGUUAAAAGGUCAUCUGCUUUUUGAAUUCUUUCCACUCUCCUCCCAGUUAUUUGUGAUAGUCUCUUAGAAGGUUAAAAAUAACAUUUAUUUCCCCAGUGGUUUUGUAUAUUUCCAUUUGGCAAACUUUAUUUUGUUCCAUGUGUUUCUAAGGGAACAGAAAUGAAAAUGGUUUAUGUCCUACUUCCUACACUGGGCUCAAUGAUGUUGUCAGAAAUGGAAUUGUCUUUCGGUCCAAAGUGGGUACACCCAACCGUAAGCUAGGCUUUAAUGCAGAAACUAUAUAAACUACAAAGACAAUGGACAUUGUUUGGCUAUUGGAAAAUCUACUGCGUUAUACUUCCUUUAAUCAAGCCAUGAAUUUUUUAAUAGAUUCAAGCCACUUUGCACAGACAUGAUAACAGUAUAAAACUGGGUCACAUUAUAAGCAUGAACCAUGACACUGUGUCCCAUUACUGAAAUAAAACUAAAGGCAAC